GGGGAUGAUCGGCCUAGACAUGAGGUUUCACUUUAUUAUGUGCAAAGUCGAGCUCAGAACAACUCGUAAAAAGGUUCUGAAAAGUUAAGUGCAAACUUGACACAAAAAGUAAAAGCAUUUGUUAACUCAUUUGCUCUUGCUCCAGCAUACGCGUAAUCGCGACAGCCGGCAUCUUGUUUCUUGAUGUCUAAUAUAGAAAUACUGGUGUAAUAAUAUUUAGACUAGGAAAUACAUCUUUCUCAAUAUGUUUCCAAAACAAACGAGGACAGAGAUAGUGAGGUUUUGUUUAUUUCUUACUCAUUAUCUUUAAAUCUGUCGCAAGACAGGAAAAAAUAAACUACACUUUGUAGAAGCAUUAUAGAGCGCUUUAUGCACGCGGGUUCGAUUCCCGCCAUCUCCACAU
rnacentral:tmRNA from 1 species